GGAUUGUGGCUCAGUGGUAGAGCGCUUGCCUAGCAUGUGUGAGGCCCUGGGUUCGAUCCUCAGCACCA
rnacentral:tRNA from 1 species